CGAGCGAGACCCGCGCCCACAGUUGCCAGCAUGUUCUCCGGAACGAUGGGCACACUGUGGGGACCGCCGCUGCUAAAGCGGAGGAAGGAACGGGCUACGGUAGGUCAGUAUGCCCCGAAUCUCCCGGGCCACACGCGGGCUACAAUGGUUGGGACAAUGGGCACCUACCCCGAAAGGGGAUGGUAAUCUCGAAACCCAACCGUAGUUCGGAUUGAGGGCUGUAACUCGCCCUCAUGAAGCUGGAAUCCGUAGUAAUCGCGUAUCAACAUUGCGCGGUGAAUACGUCCCUGCUCCUUGCACACACCGCCCGUCAAACCAUGCGAGUGAGGUCUGGGUGAGGGCGUGAUCUUUAUCACGUUCGAACCUGGGCUUCGCAAGUGGGGUUAAGUCGUAACAAGGUAACC
rnacentral:rRNA from 1 species